rnacentral:lncRNA from 1 species
UCAGAAUUAAACCAACAGCUAGGCAGGCAGAGUCUCUAGACUGCCUUUUGAUAUGAUUAGGAACUUGCCGUUUUCCUCAGUGUUUAUCUUUGGACUUGAUGGCAGCAGAAAUGCCAACUGAACAUGCGUCAUCACAGUGGUCCCUCUUUUGUUGGAAUUGCGUUGCUUCCAGAAGGGAGGGGAAGCCUGAGAAAGUUACAGACGAUGAUGCGAUGAUGCGUAAUGAACACAUAUACAACGGACACCAGGGGUCUGGGCCUCCGUAUAGAACUGUUAACGUUAUGCCUCCUACCUUUCCAAGUGAAUCAAUACAAGAUCAGCUUUAUGCAAACAUACCUGGAAAGCCUUAUUUUUACUAAAAUGAAUUAACAUGACAUUAACAAAUAAGUCACUUUUAAGUUGCCGUGUCAAAAUAUAGGACCUUGGACAUCAGAGGGCCACUUCAUUGUCUUUAUUUAUGGUCACAGCAUUUGCAUUCCCGUCUCCCUCGUGCUGUUUUUAUUUUUGUCACUGGAGUCCAUGAAGACUUAAUCAUCAGCCCUCUAAUUUUCCAAAAGAAAAAAAAAAAUGUUGAUUUAUCGAAAUGGCUGCAGAAAAAGAAGAAGAAGAAGAUCAAUCUGACAUUGUAGGUUAAUAGUAGGGAACAAAACACAUUCAUAAUUAGAAGAGAAAAGGACCUUCCUUGUUCAUUCCAGUUUAUAAUAAAAAGCGCCUCGCCAAAGUGUCUUAGAAAAUAAUGCAUUCAGACUGAGUCGAAUUACCGCCUAGCAGAUUCUAUUUAUCUGUAGCUUAAAAAGCAGCUGCGUUUUUGUAAAAAAGCAAUGAAUGUGGCAGUCCUACUUAAAGGUAGAAGAAAAAGAACACCCCUUGUUUUGUAAUAAGGGGAUUUUCCAUUUAAAAGAGAGAGCGAGCCUGUUGUGUGAAGUCCGAUUAUUACAUUCACUGUAUUCUAUCUCACCCACCAGGAGGCUAAUAAUGGAGGGGCCAGAGAAGGAGGCCAGUGCUCCGAGGGUUAUCUCACAGCCUCAGAUGCUGGAUAAGCCGAAGGAGGCAGAAUCGCUUCUGGAUGACAUUCAGAAAGGCCGGAGUGAUUAUUGGAAGAGAAAAGCCUGCCUAUUCUUUUCCAAGGUGCCUGACUAUUCCCCGGGCCCGCCCGUCCGGCCACUGAUGAAUGAUUAGCCACCUGCCUCAGACAAAGGAUGCCCUGGGAGCCUCCCCACACCUACGGCCGCUUUGAAGGCUCUGCCAAGCUCACUUUUAAUCACGAGAAAGGAAUUACCCACAUGGAGUCAGCAGAAAAUGAGAAAGUAGAGCUCGUGCUGCGAAUCAUUCCAGCAAGUGCCAAGGGGCUAGUUGAGGAAUGGCUUCAACGAGGUGAAUAUCUUUAGCUUGUACUUAGGGUUUGGGUAGCGUAUAAUCAUUUUCUCUUUUAGGAGCGAUGAUUGUCCUAAGUGCCUUCCCCAGCCCGAGAGCAUCUGUCAGGCUGCCGGCAGACUUGAUAAGCGUCUCCGUCCUUGUUGGUAUUUACUGUUACUCCCUGUACCUCUGCGACCGCGCCACCACCAUCCGCCGGGGCGGGGAGGCCGCCGAGCCCGUGCCCGUUCAUAGCUGUGUGUCUUUGUUGGCGUGUGUCCGGUGAUCUCUGUCUCUGUGUGUGUGUGUGCCCUCGUUCGCGUCUUUCUCCCUGUUGUGCACAGCGGUGGGGAGGACUGGCCAGCCAGGGGGUUCGCAGAUGUGGUCCGAGGCUUUCAUUUGAGUUUUGGACCUGGGAAAAAAGAAUGUGUCACAUCAUGAUUAAUGGUCAAUCUGAAUGUUCAAUUCAUACGGAAGGAGAAGGGGGAGGAGGAUAUGAGCCCAGUGAUGAGACCAACCUUUUCCCUUUGGGAAGAGCAGGAUUUAAAUUAAACAUCACUUUCGGUGUGAAAUUAGUUUGAAGCCCUCUCUCUCUUUUUAACUCCUUAACGGGCUGCUCUUUCAGAGAGCAUCCUCUCUGUCGAGCCCCGUGCCCGAGUCUGUUCCCAGCAGCCACCCGUAGUUCUUCCUUUGUUCUGUUUUCCUAAAGAUCGGGUCUGAAAAACCAAGAGGGUAGUAUUUUACUGUUUUCAAAACUCCAUUAUUCACGAGUUAGCAUUCGCCCUAAAACAUGUUAUUUCCUUCUGUCCCAAACUCAAGUCUCAGAUAAACAAACAGAAAAAACGUUCUUCUUUUAAGGCUAAGUCUGCUGGGGGUUGGGGCGGGGGGAGUGGAGGGAUGNNNNNNNNNNNNNNNNNNNNNNNNNCGAGGGAGGCUGAAGAGCAGCAACACGCAAGCCCAAGCUGUCUCUCACUGACCUGGUCUCCCACAUACCUGAGUCACAGGAUUGCCACGCCAACCUACAGCAACUUGGGCUUCAAGCAAGCAUGUGCCCGGGAUGCUCUGAAACUGCCCUUCAGUACUUACUGGUCCAAGGACCCAGGCCCAAACAUGUAGAAAGAACCGCUGUCCGUGGACACGCGAGGCCGCUUGCCCAUCUGGGGGCGUCCUUGCUGCCACUGGUAGGCACCAGCAGGCUUGAAAAUGUGAUCAGUCUCUUUCUGGGGUUUGCUGGCUUGCGGGGAAAGGGACAGUACUGAAAAGGCUAAGAGACAAAGUUGUUCUUCCAAUGUAUUUUCAAAAGGAAAAUGUUGGGGCCUUGCCAUUCCUUUUCUAAAGGAAGGAGAGGUGUGGCGGAGGAGGCCGUGAGGCAGCUGG